GGGGAUGUAGCUUAGUCCGGUCAAAGCACUCGUUUGUCGAACGAGCGAUCGUGGGUUCAAAUCCCAUCAUUCCCG
rnacentral:tRNA from 1 species